rnacentral:rRNA from 1 species
CACGAACCGUACGAACGUUAUUCGGAAUUACUGGGCUUAAAGGGUUUGUAGGCGGCCAUGUAAGUCAGGUGUGAAAUCCCUCGGCUCAACCGAGGAACGGCGCUCGAUACUGCAUGGCUUGAGGGAGACAGGGGUAAGCGGAACUGAUGGUGGAGCGGUGAAAUGCGUUGAUAUCAUCAGGAACACCGGUGGCGAAAGCGGCUUACUGGGUCUCUUCUGACGCUGAGGAACGAAAGCUAGGGUAGCGAACGGG